CAGUCGCCGCGGGAAUACGUAGGGUGCGAGCGUUAAUCGGAAUUACUGGGCGUAAAGCGUGCGCAGGCGGUUUUGUAAGACAGGCGUGAAAUCCCCGGGCUCAACCUGGGAAUGGCGCUUGUGACUGCAAAGCUAGAGUGCGGCAGAGGGGGAUGGAAUUCCGCGUGUAGCAGUGAAAUGCGUAGAUAUGCGGAGGAACACCGAUGGCGAAGGCAACCCCCUGGGCCUGCACUGACGCUCAUGCACGAAAGCGUGGGGAGCAAACAGGAUUAGAUACCCCCGUAGUCCCUGUCUCUUAUAC
rnacentral:rRNA from 1 species